GAUGAACGCUAGCGGCAGGCCUAACACAUGCAAGUCGAGGGAUAAGCCUUCGGGCUGAAACCGGCGCAGGGGUGCGUAACGCGUAUACAAUCUGCCUUUCACAUAGCGUUAGCCCGGAGAAAGUUGGAUUAAUACCUAAUGGUAUAUAAGAUCGGCAUCAUAUUUAUAUUAAAGCUUUGGUGGUGAAAGAUGUGUAUGCGUUCUAUUAGCUAGUUGGAGAGGUAACGCCUCUCCAAGGCGACGAUAGUUAGGGGUUCUGAGAGGGAUGUCCCCCACACUGGUACUGAGAUACGGACCAGACUCCUACGGGAGGCAGCAGUGAGGAAUAGUGGGCAAUGGUCGGGAGACUGAUCCAGCCAUGCCGCGUGCAGGACGACGGUCCUAUGGAUUGUAAACUGCUUUUGGAAGGGAAGAAUGAGGAGUACGUGUACUUUGAUGACGGUACCUUACGAAUAAGCAUCGGCUAACUCCGUG
rnacentral:rRNA from 1 species